rnacentral:misc_RNA from 1 species
AAUCUGGUCCUAACAAACUCUCCUGUAGCACAGCAGUUAUGUAUUGUGAGACUAGGGGGAAAAAGGUGAAGUCUUGAUACAAGACUUUAAGGGAAGAGAGAAUUCUAAUUAGGAGAAGAUUAUACAUAAAACCACCAAAUUAGAGAGAAGAGAUCAGAAUGGUGAUUGCUGGGGUUUAAAAUGCUGUGUCAAAAGUAUUUAAGCAAUAAGCAUAUUGUUUGACUAUCUCAAUACCUCUGAUUCUCUCUCCAUCAUAAAAGCAAGACAGUUAGGUGAGCCUGUUUGAUAUCCAUUCUGUUUUUAGUUUUUGGUGGUGGUUGAACAAUAGUUGAAAAAAUAUAUAUUAUCAAAGCACGUGCAUUUUGUUUCUUGAUGACUUAAAUAGAAAAACAGGUUGCUACAAGAAGCAAAAACCACAAAAUAAGAGUCAUUUUUACUUGUUUCAUCAACUUGUU